UACGUAGGGUGCAAGCGUUGUCCGGAAUUAUUGGGCGUAAAGAGCUCGUAGGCGGCUUGUCACGUCGACUGUGAAAACCCGGGGCUCAACUCCGGGCCUGCAGUCGAUACGGGCUGGCUUGAGUGCGGUAGGGGAGACUGGAAUUCCUGGUGUAGCGGUGAAAUGCGCAGAUAUCAGGAGGAACACCGGUGGCGAAGGCGGGUCUCUGGGCCGGAACUGACGCUAAGGAGCGAAAGCGUGGGGAGCGAACAGG
rnacentral:rRNA from 1 species